rnacentral:rRNA from 1 species
GUUUUAAGUACGUAUUAAUAAUGAUAAUAUGUAUACUAGUCUUGACCAAUUACGUGCCAGCAGUCGCGGUAAUACGUAAGAGACGAGCAUUAUUCAUAUUAAAUAGGUUUAAAGGGUACCCAGACGGUCAAAAUACCUUAACAAAAAGGAGUACUUGACUAGAGUUAUAUGUGAGAAGACCGUACUUGAGGAGGAGAGAUUAUAUUCUGUGAUACCGAAAGGACUGAUAAAGGCGAAGGCUGUCUUUUAUGUAAUAACUGACGUUGGAGGACGAAGGCAUAGAGAACGAACAGGAUUUGACACCCUAGUAGUCUUUGCAGACAAUGAUGAAUGCCAUAGGUUAGAUACGCGUAAUGCGAUAUGUUUAGUCUAUAAAUGAAAAUGAAAGCAUUUCACCUCAAGAGUAAUGUGGCAACGC